UACGUAGGGCGCAAGCGUUGUCCGGAAUUAUUGGGCGUAAAGGGCUCGUAGGCGGUCUGUCGCGUCGGAUGUGAAAACCCAGGGCUCAACCCUGGGCCUGCAUUCGAUACGGGCAGACUGGAGUACUGCAGGGGAGACUGGAAUUCCUGGUGUAGCGGUGAAAUGCGCAGAUAUCAGGAGGAACACCGGUGGCGAAGGCGGGUCUCUGGGCCGUAACUGACGCUGAGGAGCGAAAGCAUGGGGAGCGAACAGG
rnacentral:rRNA from 1 species